GCCUCAGUAGCUCAGCCUGGUAGAGCGCUUGCUUGGUAAGCAAGAAGUCCCGGGUUCAGAUCCCGGCUGAGGCU
rnacentral:tRNA from 1 species